AUUUGUCCCAGAGUCACUCCAUCAUCUUGUUUGCUGGGGAGCCCAAUGUUUGUACCAAAUGGCUUUUUCAAAUGGAAUCAUGUCAUCUCUCAUUUUUUUUUUAAAAGAUCAAUAUGGAGUCAGGUAAGACUUCAUCUCCCAACACAAUCCCAGAAUAGGAUGGCCUGCCAAAAUCAAGUGGCCUAGUGCAAAUAGCAAUAUCUGUGAAACUGCUGAUCAAAGGCAUGAUGAACCUUGGGCUCGUCAUUUUUGGCACCAGAGCUCAGGUCAGUGACACCCUGUGCUCCUGCCCUCCGAGAGAAUCUACUGAAGGAAUUUGAAAUGUUUACUCUGAAGAAGAGAAGACUUGAAGAUAGGUGACCUUAAUGGCUUUUCUCAAGGAUUUGAAGGAUCAGUUUGUAGAAACAAGAAUUUAGAUUUGUUUGGCUUAGCCCCAGAGGACAAAGCAAGGAAUAAUGGCUGCAAGUUGGAAAGGCAAAUUUAGACUUUUUGCAUAGAGAACCUUCAUAAUUAGAACUUUCCAGAGAUGGGAUAAGUUACACUUGGAGAUAUAAUUGGAUUUCCCACCAUGGAGGUGUUUAACAAAAGACUGUAGAUCUUUUAUUAACAGAGGUAUUCAGAUGCUUCUGAAUUGGACUGGAUAACUUUAACAGACCCUUACAGAUCUAAUAGUUCCUGAUUCUGUGAUAAAUAACAUUCUAUCAGUCAGUGAAAUAUAACAAAUGUGGUUCACUGCUUAACUUAAUAUAUUACUGACUUUCCUAUCUGUUCUACAUAUUCCUUUACUUUGCUAAAGUCUAAUAAUUUUUGUCUUACUCAUUUGUAUUUUGUAUAUGAUUAAUUCAUGUUCUUAAACAAAAUUACUAAUGAUUCAUGCCAGAGGUUUUUUGACAUGAGAUAAUUUUGAAAUAUGAUUUUACAAAGGUGAUAGAUCAUAGGUGAAGAGUCUCAUGAUUACAAAUUUGAUGGAAGGACUAGCACAAAAGGGUUCUCAAUAGAGCAUAUGUGGGCUGACCCUUCCCCGAAAGUGAUUUAGUAUUGAUUGGUGCCAACCCAACAUGUGGAACUUUAGAAGUUGAUUUCAGCCAUAAUGAUUCAGGCAUAGUACUGUGUGAUGAUAAAAAGUCUUAUUGUUGCAUAACUGGAAGGAUUGAUAGCAUGAGAGAGAUCACAUCAGAAUUGAUUCUUCAUAGCAAAGGAUAGUCAUUCUUGCUCUUUCCUAAUAGCUUUUGAGUGGGGAAGAUUUCUGUGAGCUUCUAGGUAAGAGAGGGGCAACACAAUUCUGUCACUUUCCUACUGCAGUCCAAGCACACCUUUUCUGUCUCUCUUGUCUCUUGUUUAUUCUUUUCUGAGCUUGGUUGAAUGAAUAUCUGGAAACAGAAUUGGCCAGGCAACAAUCUUAUGAGUUUCAGAAGGUCAAAAGAGCCAUAAAAGGUCACAAUGGAAUGGGUAGCAGAGACAGUUGACUCUGGAAGCUGAUAGCAGCAAAAACAUAGUCUGGUGAGAAACUAAUCAAAGCACCAAUCAAGCCAGGGGGUAGCUUGUCCUUUGCCAAUGUUCCUGGGAAGCAAAAUGAGUGCUUCUUAAUUUAUAUCUCAUACCCCUGUGGUGAAGGAUAUAAAAACCACAAUUGCAUUUCCAUAAAGCUUGCUUUACCAAAACAAAAAUAUCACAACUUAUUGAUAAUCAAUGGCAUGUUCUAAUGGUGUCCUCAUUAUGUGGAAGAAUGUGAGGAAGGCUCCCUGUAUAUCAAGGAUACACCUUGUACCAAACCUAUGGAAGGACAGGGUUUCAUAGUUUUAGUUGGCUUGGGUCAACUGGUCAACUUGGGUCAAGAGUUUCAUAGUUUUAUCUGGCUUGCAUCAACUGUGAUGUUUCAAGAGGAAUAUCCACAUUUAUUCACAAAUACAUUGCCAAGAUAGUCAACAAAAUGAAAAUGUAGUCAAUUCUGAGCUUCAAAAAAGAACUAGUUAAAUAUUCUGAUAUAAGUUGACUGAUUCUCUAGCGAGAAAAAGCAAUUAGCAGAAAUACCAGCAGAAAUGACCAAACUGACUCUUCAUUGUUUCAAACUAUCAACAGAAACACAAAGUUAUAGAUUUUGGUUGGAUGUUUAUUAGUUCCUAAAAAAAAAAUGAAUAAACAGACCAAAAAAACCUUCCAGCAACCCACCUCUGAUAGAUAUAAUUUUUAAAAGCUUUAGUUGCUUGUUUUGCUGUCCUUGUUUUUUGGUAAAUGCUGAUUCAUCUUGGCAAAUGUAAUUUGACUUCAGAGAUAAUCCAGAGAAAGGCUCACAUAGAAAAGAAUCAGCAUUUGCACUGUGUCAUUAAGAAAGUCCUUGGUAAGACUUUUCUUUAUUUUUCUUUAUUUUUCCUUUUUUUUUUUUUUUAAUAGCUUUUUAUUUUUCUAAGUACAUGCAAGGAUAGUUUUCAACAUUUACCUUUGCAAAACCUUCCAUAUUUUUCUCCCUUCCUCUUUUCUUCUCUCUCACUCUUGACAGCAGGCAAUCCAAUAUAGGUUAAACAUGUGCAGUUUUUCUAAACAUAUUUCCACAUUUGUCAUGUAUAUGACUUUUAUAGUGGGGAAAAGCAUCAAUCUUCAUAUAGUAUAAUAGUGAGAUAUACAAAGGACUUGGGCUUGGAUCUUGACUCUCUACUCAAAUUAUCUUGAGCAAAUUGCCACCCUGUUUUACACCUUAAUUUCUUUAUUUAAAAAAUGAAGAGUGGAACUGUAAGAUCUCUCAAAUCUCAUUAUCUCUAAUUUCCAUUAUAAUGCUAUUGAUUCUAUUGUUGAACUUGUAUCUUGAGUUUUGCAAAUAAGUAGUGAUAGAAUGAGCUGAAUCACACAUAUUCUCUUGCCUCUAGAAUUUGUGUGCAUGUGUUUAAUUAGUAUGUGGGUAAGUAUAUAAAUUCAUUCUCUGUGUAGAGAAUAGAGCUGAGUUAUCUAGCACAUAUGGGUAAGGAACCAUCUAAUAAGCUUCCCCACCCCACCCCCCUUUUCUUACUAUGUCCUUUGAAAUGCAGUAUAGUACAGUAAAAAUAACUAAAGUCAGAAAAACAGAGUUUACACUCUCCCUACACCAUUUAAUAACUGUGACUUUGGGUAACUCACUUAAUUUCCCUAACCUAUGAUUUCUUCAUCCAUAAAAUAGAGAUAGCAAUAAUUGUCUUGCCUGCCUCACAAGAUGGUAUAAGGAAAGCAUUUAUAAACUACAAUAUGCUAUGUAAAUGUGAGUUGCUAUUAUGAUCAUAUGCCCAAGACAACAAUAGACAAAGCCAUUACGAGGAAUAAAGAUAUAUUGAUGGAGUUCUUUUGAUAAUUAAUUAGAAUUAAUAUUGACUUUUUAAAAAAUAUAUUAAUAUUUUUUUCAAAGCUUAAAUGAAAAUGUUACAUAACAGCAAAGUUGAUUUUCAAGUAUUCUAUUUUCACCUGAAUGAUAUCAUUCAUAUUGUGAUGAAAUACUAUUGUUAUAGAAGAAAUGAUGAGCAGGAUGUUUUAAGGAAAUCCUAAGAAGUAAAAACAAAACAAAACAAAACAAAAACUGAUAGAAUGUGAAGUUAUCAGAACUAGAAUAUUGUACAUAGUAAUAGCAAUGUUGUUAGGAUGAUCAAACUGUGAAAUCAACUUCAAUUAGGACAACAAUCCAAACAAUUACACAUGACCCAUGAGAAAAAAUUCUAUCCUCCAGGGAUAAGUGAUAAACUUAGAUUGAAGAUACUUUUUUAUCCUCCCAAAACAAGAGGGGAUCCUACAUGUAUCAAAGUGUAACAAAAUGAAAGAAAAGUAGGUCAAUGAAAGAAUACUGAAGUAAAAACAUACUUUUGCUGACUGGUCUCAGUGACAGAAAUGGAGAAGCCAUCAUGGAGAUAAUUUCUAAGUCUGUAUUACUUAUCUGAGGCUUUGGCUCCUUGAUCCAUCAGUUUCAUGAAUGGACCCAGUAAUCAGCAUAAUGACUUUAUCCAACUCCUGAUAAUAUACUAUUAAUUGUAAAUGUUUUUCACCUUCUUCACUAGUCACAUGAAAUUAUUAUGAAAGGAGUUUGUAUAAUAAAGAACUACAGAUUUUUUGAUCUCCAUUAUAGAUAAAAAUAUCUAUUAUUUUCCCCUCUCCCACCCACUCAUGUUGCUUAAUAUUAACCACAUAUGACAGUACAAGCAACUCUAAGGACUUUAAUUUAGCUGUAAACACAAUGACUAGCAUAGAAUCUAAUAUAAAUACUCACACAGAUAUCUGACUCUCAAGAACUCAUAAUAUCCAUGCCCACACUAAAUUCUCCCUAGUCAGAGAAUCACAAUUGAAACUUAAACAUCUCCACCUGUUCAUAGAUGUUUCCCUCAAUGACUUUAUCUUCUAACCUCUGCUAUAGAAACUGGAGGACAUCUAUUAAAGUAUUGGUAUAAGAUAACUUGGAUGCUGAUAUCUAGUAGCCCUUUUUAUGUUUAGUGCUCUGUUUUCUAAAUCACAGCAACUUGAGUAUUCAGAAACAUAAGUAGUUAAAACAGCUUAAUCAAGAGUAUAAUUUCUACUUUUAAGUUGGGAGAUGCACAUGUGCGUACAUACACACACACACACACACACACACACACACACAUACAAAACAAACAAAAAAACAACACACAAGUAUUACCCCUCUUCAGCAAAACAGAAUUCUAUCUCUGGUACAUUAAUAGAUUUUCUCUUGUCUUUUAUAACUCCCAUAAUUAUCUCUAUGCCCCUUUAGAUUUCGGUUCUCUUCUCCUAGGUUGUAGUGUUUCUUUUUUUGAAGAUAAAUGAGAAUCUUUCUCAUAAUGCAUAGUUUUACAUAUGUUGCUUUUAUGAACUUUUCAUAUCAUUUACAAAUCCUUUCAAAUAAAUAGAAUGAUUUCAGUAGCUCAGAAAUUCAUGUGCUAGGCAUUUAAGCCAAACCUCAAAAUAUUAUCCAAAUAUUCAUAAGCAUUAUUGUCAUGAAUAUACUGUUAUUUAAAGCAAUCAGCCUAAACUGUGAAAAACAACAAUAAAAUGUGCA
rnacentral:lncRNA from 1 species